AUAGAUAACUGCUGAAAAGGUGGUUUAGUAGGUAGAAUGGAUGAAUAGUCAAAAAAAGUAGUUAUCAUCUGUAGUAUAGGAGUUGGUAUCUCGGGGUAGUAUAAGGAGGAUGGGAGAGGGGAAGAAAAUGCCAGACUAUGAGAGUUGUGAGCCGAGGGCCAAACUGUGAGAGUCGUAAGCCGAGGGCAAGACUGUGAAAGUUGUGAGCCGAGGUAAGCUUGGUGCUACCUCUUUUCUUUUGUUUGUUAUUUUCUUUGAAUAAGAGGAUUGAAAGUUUCUGAAUAUUGUGAAGUGAAUUAUGGAAUAGAAAUGUGAUUGGUAUUAUUUGAGAAGAAGAAAGAUUGAAUGCUGAAAUCUGAUUGUAGUUCAGCAGAGAGAAUGAGUCUAUGUUUGUGUGAAAUACUGCAAUGUGAAUGGGAGUUCUGUGUAAAGAAUUCGAGUGAUUGGAAUGAGGGUAAUUGUGUACUGAAAGCUGUGAGGGCACAAUAUUACAGUUGGAGAUUAUGAGGGUGAAUAUAUUGGUGGAAAUAGCAAUUAUUGGUAUGACUGAAUUGCUGUAAGGAAGAGACCGAUAAGAUGAAGGAGGAGAUUAUAGUUUCCUUGUGUGUUCAGAUAUUAGAAAUAGAGACAAUAUAUUUAGGAGGUAAUUGAUUGUAUGACCCUAACGUGAACGCUUAAGCAACUAGUCAUUCCUCGUGUUCAAAUCUCC
rnacentral:lncRNA from 1 species